rnacentral:rRNA from 1 species
UACAGAGGUGGCAAGCGUUGUUCGGAAUUACUGGGCGUAAAGGGCGCGUAGGCGGCUUGGUCAGUCCCGUGUGAAAUCCCUCGGCUCAACUGAGGAACUGCACGGGAAACUGCCUGGCUUGAGUUCGGGAGAGGGAGGCGGAAUUCCGGGUGUAGCGGUGAAAUGCGUAGAUAUCCGGAGGAACACCGGUGGCGAAGGCGGCUUCCUGGACCGACACUGACGCUGAGGCGCGAAAGCUAGGGGAGCAAACGGG